rnacentral:rRNA from 1 species
UGGGGAAUAUUGCACAAUGGGCGCAAGCCUGAUGCAGCCAUGCCGCGUGUGUGAAGAAGGCCUUCGGGUUGUAAAGUACUUUCAGUCGGGAGGAAGGUGGUAAGGUUAAUAACCUUAUCAAUUGACGUUACCGACAGAAGAAGCACCGGCUAACUCCGUGCCAGCAGCCGCGGUAAUACGGAGGGUGCAAGCGUUAAUCGGAAUUACUGGGCGUAAAGCGCACGCAGGCGGUUGAUUGAGUCAGAUGUGAAAUCCCCGGGCUUAACCCGGGAAUUGCAUCUGAUACUGGUCAGCUAGAGUCUUGUAGAGAGGGGUAGAAUUCCAUGUGUAGCGGUGAAAUGCGUAGAGAUGUGGAGGAAUACCGGUGGCGAAGGCGGCCCCCUGGACAAAGACUGACGCUCAGGUGCGAAAGCGUGGGGAGCAAACAGG